UACAGAGGUCUCAAGCGUUGUUCGGAUUCAUUGGGCGUAAAGGGCGCGUAGGCGGCGGGGUAAGUCGGGUGUGAAAUCUCAGAGCUCAACUCUGAAAUGGCACUUGAUACUGCUCUGCUAGAGGACUGGAGAGGAGAUUGGAAUUCACGGUGUAGCAGUGAAAUGCGUAGAUAUCGUGAGGAAGACCGGUGGCGAAGGCGGAUCUCUGGACAGUUCCUGACACUGAGGCACGAAGGCCAGGGGAGCAAACGGG
rnacentral:rRNA from 1 species